UUAAGCGAAGAAGAGCGUAUGGUGGAUGCCUAGACACCAGGAGGCGAAGAAGGACGCAGCAAACGGCGAAACGCGACGGCGAGCAGUAAGCAGGCAACGACCCGUCGAUAUCCGAAUGGGGGAACCCGCCAUCCACGAGGGUGGCAUCGCGCAAGCGAGGCAAUACGCAGGGAACUGAAACAUCUCAGUACCUGCAGGAGAAGAAAGUAAAAACGAUUCCGUAAGUAGUGGCGAGCGAAAGCGGAGGAGCCCAAACCAUCAGAUGAUGGGGUUAUAGGGCUGCCGAGAAAGUCGAUGCGACAUGACAGGAGAAGCGCAGGGGAAGGCGCAGCGAAGAGGGUGAAACUCCCGUAUCCGAAGUCGUGAAGCAGGGCGAGGCAGACCCUGAGUACGUCGGGGCACGAGGAAUCCUGACGGAAGGAUCGAGGACCAUCUCGAAAGGCUAAAUACUCCCUGGUGAGCGAUAGUGAACCAGUACCGUGAGGGAAAGGUGAAAAGAACCCCGGGAGGGGAGUGAAAUAGAACCUGAAACCAUAUGCUUACAAGAAGUCAGAGCCCGUUAAAGGGUGAUGGCGUGCCUUUUGUAGAAUGAGCCGGCGAGUUAUGAUAUGGAGCGAGGUUAAGCAGGAGAUGCGGAGCCGAAGCGAAAGCGAGUCUUAAGAGGGCGAAAGUUGCAUGUCAUAGACCCGAAACCGGGUGAUCUAGCCAUGAUCAGGUUGAAGUCGGGGUAAGACCCGAUGGAGGACCGAACCGACCCCCGUUGAAACGUUGGCGGAUGAAUUGUGGCUAGGGGUGAAAUUCCAAACGAACCCGGAGAUAGCUGGUUCUCCCCGAAAUAGCUUUAGGGCUAGCGUCGCAGGAAGUGCCAUGAAGGUAGAGCACUGAAUAUGUGAUGGCCUCAUCCCGAGGUACUGAGCAUAAUCAAACUCCGAAUGUCAUGGAGACGAUGAGCGGCAGUCAGACCAUGGGUGAUAAGGUCCAUGGUCAAGAGGGAAACAGCCCAGACCAUCAGCUAAGGUCCCCAAAUACAUGCUAAGUGGAAAAGGAUGUGGAGAUGUACAGACAACCAGGAGGUUGGCUUAGAAGCAGCCAUCCUUGAAAGAGUGCGUAACAGCUCACUGGUCGAAUGACUCUGCGCCGAAAAUUUACCGGGGCUAAGCAUGAUACCGAAGCUAUGGAUUUACGAAAGUAAGUGGUAGGGGAGCGUUCCAGACAGCGAGGAAGGAUGAUCGAAAGGACAUCUGGAGCGUGUGGAAGAGAGAAUGCCGGUGUGAGUAGCGGCACGUGGGUGAGAAUCCCACGCACCGAAGACCCAAGGUUUCCAGAGGAAGGUUCGUCCGCUCUGGGUAAGUCGGGACCUAAGGCGAGGCCGAGAGGCGUAGCCGAUGGACAACGGGUAGAGAUUCCCGUACCUGGCUGUGGGUGAAGGAGUGACGGAGACGGCUAGGCCAACCAGCGGCUGGAAGAGCUGGAGCAAGCGAGGUAGGGGUCAUCCAGGCAAAUCCGGAUGGCGCAACCCGAAGGCGUGACGCGGAUGGAACAUUGCGAUAAGUACAGAAGAGGCCAAAGCCGGCUUCCAAGAAAAGCUUCUAGCAUAACUGCAGACAGCCCGUACCGAAAAUGGACACACAUGGGUGAGGAGAGAAUCCUAAGGUGAGCGAGAGAACUAUAGCUAAGGAACUCUGCAAAAUGACUCCGUAACUUAGGGAGAAGGAGUGCUCAGUGGAAGCUGAGCCGCAGUGAAACGGCCCAAGCGACUGUUUACCAAAAACACAGCUCUCUGCGAAGACGCAAGUCGAAGUAUAGGGGGUGACGCCUGCCCGGUGCUGGAAGGUUAAGGGGAGUGGUCAGCAUAGGCGAAGCCAUGAACCGAAGCCCCAGUAAACGGCGGCCGUAACUAUAACGGUCCUAAGGUAGCGAAAUUCCUUGUCAGGUAAGUUCUGACCCGCACGAAAGGCGUAACGAUUUGGGCGCUGUCUCGGCUGUAGACUCGGUGAAGUCUUAGUACCU
rnacentral:rRNA from 1 species